AGUGAACGCUGGCGGUAGGCCUAACACAUGCGAGUCGAACGGCAGCACAGUAAGAGCUUGCUCUUACGGGUGGCGAGUGGCGGACGGGUGAGGAAUACAUCGGAAUCUACUUUUUCGUGGGGGAUAACGUAGGGAAACUUACGCUAAUACCGCAUACGACCUACGGGUGAAAGCAGGGGAUCUUCGGACCUUGCGCGAUUGAAUGAGCCGAUGUCGGAUUAGCUAGUUGGCGGGGUAAAGGCCCACCAAGGCGACGAUCCGUAGCUGGUCUGAGAGGAUGAUCAGCCACACUGUGACUGAGACACGGUCCAGACUCCUACGCGAGGCAGCAGUGGGGAAUAUUGGACAAUGGGCGCAAGCCUGAUCCAGCCAUACCGCGUGUGUGAAGAAGGCCUUCGGGUUGUAAAGCCCUUUUGUUUGGAAAGAAAAGCAGCAGGUUAAUACCCCGCUGUUCUGACGGUACCCAAAGAAUAAGCACCGGCUAACUUCGUG
rnacentral:rRNA from 1 species